GACGAACGCUGGCGGCGCGCCUAACACAUGCAAGUCGAACGGAGCUGAGAGAAGCUUGCUUUUCUUAGCUUAGUGGCGAACGGGUGAGUAACGCGUGAGUAACCUGCCCUGGAGUGGGGGACAACAGUUGGAAACGACUGCUAAUACCGCAUAAGCCCACGAUCCGGCAUCGGAUUGAGGGAAAAGGAUUUAUUCGCUUCAGGAUGGACUCGCGUCCAAUUAGCUAGUUGGUGAGGUAACGGCCCACCAAGGCGACGAUUGGUAGCCGGACUGAGAGGUUGAACGGCCACAUUGGGACUGAGACACGGCCCAGACUCCUACGGGAGGCAGCAGUGGGGGAUAUUGCACAAUGGGGGAAACCCUGAUGCAGCGACGCCGCGUGGAGGAAGAAGGUUUUCGGAUUGUAAACUCCUGUCGUUAGGGACGAUAAUGAUGGUACCUAACAAGAAAGCACCGGCUAACUACGUG
rnacentral:rRNA from 1 species